rnacentral:lncRNA from 1 species
AUGUUAUACUUUCCAAGGUGCUUCCCCUACAAUUACCUUCUAGAAUUCUCAGAGCUAUCCUGUGAUAGUAGGCUGGGCUCUAUUUAUUGUUCUCGUUUUACAGAUGAUGAAACUGAGGAUGAGAAAGGACAAGGACACAGGACCACAGAGACAGUGGGAGAGGUAGGAGCAGAUCACGACUUCCUUAUAAUUGCCCGAUUAUCUUCGCACCAGAGCACAUUAUAUCCGGCCAAAUUGACUUUUCACAAGAAUCUUACUGUGUUACCUAGACUGGAGCACAAUGGCACGAUCUCGGCACACUGCAACCUCCACUUCCAUGUUCAAGCGAUUCUCCUGCCUCAGACUCCUGAUUAGCUGGGAUUACAGGCACCCACCACCAUAUCCAGGUAUUUUUUUGUAUUUUCAGUAGAGAUGUGGUUUCACCAUGUUGGCCAGACUGGUCUUGAACUCCUGACCUCAAAUGAUCCUCCCACUUCAGCCUCCCAAAAUGCUGGGAUUAUAGGCGUGAGCCACCACACCCAGCCACAUCAUUUCAUAAUACAUCAUUACAUAUACUAAGCACACACCCAUUUUUUUCUCUUAAAUGAUUGUUUCAAAUCAUCUAUAGUUUUUUCGUUAUUUUUUAAUUCCAUGUGUCAGACCUAUCUUAUCUUGUUCUUUUGCUCCAUUUUCAACAGUCUGUUCCCUGAGUCUGAUACAAAAUGAUUCACCUAGAACUUCUUUCCAACAUAACUGUAUGACUUAUUUAUGAGAUUUUUUCUAAUAUGAAGAAUUAUUAAUUAAAACAUGAUAUUGCAGUAAUGAGGAAUUAGCUGGUAAAAGGUAAAGAUAGCAGAUAUAGGUAGGGCCACAAUCCCUAGGGUUAUAAUAGAACAUCAAGGAAAAAUCUCUCCCUUACUUCUCAGGUGGAUCUACAUUUCACUGGAGACGACGUGACCAUGGAUCACUGAGUGGUAGAGAAGUUCACAGAGGUGCUUUGCCAGCAGGACUUACCACAGUCUGUACUCCGUAGUGCCAUGGUGUAGCCUUCCACAGAGAGGUACCAUGCCUAUAAACACAACAUAAAACCACAUGAAAGCAUUCUGGAGAAGUGAGGGAGGUCCCCUG